UGGGGAAUAUUGCACAAUGGGCGCAAGCCUGAUGCAGCCAUGCCGCGUGUGUGAAGAAGGCCUUCGGGUUGUAAAGCACUUUCAGCGGGGAGGAAGGCGAUAAGGUUAAUAACCUUGUCGAUUGACGUUACCCGCAGAAGAAGCACCGGCUAACUCCGUGCCAGCAGCCGCGGUAAUACGGAGGGUGCAAGCGUUAAUCGGAAUUACUGGGCGUAAAGCGCACGCAGGCGGUCUGUCAAGUCGGAUGUGAAAUCCCCGGGCUCAACCUGGGAACUGCAUUCGAAACUGGCAGGCUAGAGUCUUGUAGAGGGGGGUAGAAUUCCAGGUGUAGCGGUGAAAUGCGUAGAGAUCUGGAGGAAUACCGGUGGCGAAGGCGGCCCCCUGGACAAAGAGUGACGCUCAGGUGCGAAAGCGUGGGGAGCAAACAGG
rnacentral:rRNA from 1 species